CCGACUGAGCUCACAUCCUGUACAUUAACCUUGCUCCUUCCGGUCGGGCACGGUGGCUCAUGCCUGUAAUCACAGCACUUCGAGAGGCCGAGGCUGCCGGAUCAUGAAAUCUGGAGUUAGAGACCAGCCUGGCCAACAUGGUGACAGCUGGUACAAUAAGUUUUGAUAACAAUUGGAAAGAGAAACCAAGAGAUGAAAUCUGACAUGAGACAUUCACUUCUACUUGCUCAGAGUCCGGACAUAGAGCAGAAC
rnacentral:lncRNA from 13 species